rnacentral:rRNA from 1 species
AUUGAACGCUGGCGGCAGGCCUAACACAUGCAAGUCGAGCGGCAGCGGGAAGUAGCUUGCUACUUUGCCGGCGAGCGGCGGACGGGUGAGUAAUGCCUGGGGAUCUGCCCAAUCGAGGGGGAUAACUACUGGAAACGGUAGCUAAUACCGCAUACGCCCUACGGGGGAAAGCAGGGGACCUUUUGGCCUUGCGCGAUUGGAUGAACCCAGGUGGGAUUAGCUUGUUGGUGAGGUAACGGCUCACCAAGGCGACGAUCCCUAGCUGGUCUGAGAGGAUGAUCAGCCACACUGGAACUGAGACACGGUCCAGACUCCUACGGGAGGCAGCAGUGGGGAAUAUUGCACAAUGGGGGAAACCCUGAUGCAGCCAUGCCGCGUGUGUGAAGAAGGCCUUCGGGUUGUAAAGCACUUUCAGCGAGGAGGAAGGGGAGUGAGCUAAUACCUUACAUCAUUGACGUUACUCGCAGAAGAAGCACCGGCUAACUCCGUGCCAGCAGCCGCAGUAACAC